rnacentral:rRNA from 1 species
GAUGAACGCUGGCGGCGUGCCUAAUACAUGCAAGUCGAGCGAACAGACGAGGAGCUUGCUCCUCUGACGUUAGCGGCGGACGGGUGAGUAACACGUGGAUAACCUACCUAUAAGACUGGGAUAACUUCGGGAAACCGGAGCUAAUACCGGAUAAUAUAUUGAACCGCAUGGUUCAAUAGUGAAAGACGGUUUUGCUGUCACUUAUAGAUGGAUCCGCGCCGCAUUAGCUAGUUGGUAAGGUAACGGCUUACCAAGGCAACGAUGCGUAGCCGACCUGAGAGGGUGAUCGGCCGCACUGGAGCUGGGACACGGUCCAGACUCCUACGGGAGGCAGCAGUAGGGAAUCUUCCGCAAUGGGCGGAAGCCUGACGGAGCAACGCCGCGUGAGUGAUGAAGGUCUUCGGAUCGUAAAACUCUGUUAUUAGGGAAGAACAAAUGUGUAAGUAACUAUGCACGUCUUGACGGUACCUAAUCAGAAAGCCACGGCUAACUACGUG